rnacentral:rRNA from 1 species
GCAUAUCAAUAAGCGGAGGAAAAGAAACCAACAGGGAUUGCCCUAGUAACGGCGAGUGAAGCGGCAACAGCUCAAAUUUGAAAUCUGGCCUCGGCCCGAGUUGUAAUUUGCAGAGGAAGCUUUAGGCGCGGCACCUUCUGAGUCCCCUGGAACGGGGCGCCAUAGAGGGUGAGAGCCCCGUAUAGUUGGAUGCCUAGCCUGUGUAAAGCUCCUUCGACGAGUCGAGUAGUUUGGGAAUGCUGCUCAAAAUGGGAGGUAAAUUUCUUCUAAAGCUAAAUACCGGCCAGAGACCGAUAGCGCACAAGUAGAGUGAUCGAAAGAUGAAAAGCACUUUGAAAAGAGGGUUAAAAAGCACGUGAAAUUGUUGAAAGGGAAGCGCUUGUGACCAGACUUGCGCCGGGCUGAUCAUCCGGUGUUCUCACCGGUGCACUCGGCCCGGCACAGGCCAGCAUCGGUUCUCGCGGGGGGAUAAAGGUCCCGGGAACGUAGCUCCUCCGGGAGUGUUAUAGCCCGGGGCGUAAUGCCCUCGCGGGGACCGAGGUUCGCGCAUCUGCAAGGAUG